rnacentral:rRNA from 1 species
GACAGAGGGUGCAAACGUUGUUCGGAAUUACUGGGCGUAAAGCGCGUGUAGGCGGCUUCGCAAGUCGGAUGUGAAAUCCCACGGCUCAACCGUGGAAGUGCAUUCGAAACUGCAAGGCUAGAGUUCUGGAGAGGAAGGUGGAAUGCUUGGUGUAGAGGUGAAAUUCGUAGAUAUCAAGCGGAACACCGGUGGCGAAGGCGGCCUUCUGGACAGUAACUGACGCUGAGACGCGAAAAGCGUGGGGAGCAAACAGG